AAAAAAUGUUUGAAUUUUGUGCACAGAAUGAACCGCCUUUACAACUUACCCAGAGGGUUUGGUUCUUUGCCAGCACUUGAAGUUUUGGACCUCACCUAUAAUAACCUGAGUCAAAAUUCGCUGCCUGGAAACUUCUUCUAUCUCACAACUCUUCGCGCUCUAUAUCUGAGUGACAAUGACUUUGAAGUCCUGCCGGCUGACAUUGGAAAGA